CCUACGGGAGGCAGCAGUGAGGAAUAUUGGUCAAUGGCCGGAAGGCUGAACCAGCCAUGCCGCGUGAAGGUCAGUGCCCUAUGGGCGUUAAACUUCUUUUGUGCGGGAGCAAUAAUGGUCACGUGUGGCCAGACGAGAGUACCGUACGAAUAAGCAUCGGCUAACUCCGUGCCAGCAGCCGCGGUAAUACGGGGGAUGCAAGCGGUAUCCGGAUUUAUUGGGUUUAAAGGGUGCGUAGGCUGUGAGGUAAGUCAGCGGUGAAAUGCCCCCGCUCAACGGGGUGAAGUGCCAUUGAUACUGGCUGGCUGGAAUGCGGAUGCCGUGGGAGGAAUGUGUGGUGUAGCGGUGAAAUGCAUAGAUAUCACACAGAACACCGAUUGCGAAGGCAUCUCACGAAUCCGCGAUUGACGCUGAUGCACGAAAGCGUGGGUAUCAAACAGGAUUAGAUACCCCUGUAGUC
rnacentral:rRNA from 1 species